rnacentral:lncRNA from 1 species
GAUCUUUAUUAGAAUCGCUUCCUCUAAAAUUGGGGAUGCUGACUCCUCUCAAAAUCACCGAUCUUCAUGGGUCCAGGAAUAAAUAUAAGAUCAUGGAUGUUGAACUGCCAUGUUGGAAUGUGGUUUAUUACCAUAUUCAAGUCCGAAAAGAACUUGGGUUUUGACUGGUCAAAAUAGCGGCAGACUCGUGGACUAUUAUGAGGAGGGUAA